rnacentral:rRNA from 1 species
UGGGGAAUUUUGCGCAAUGGGCUAACGCCUGACGCAGCAACGCCGCGUGGAGGAUGAAGGUCCUUGGAUUGUAAACUCCUGUCAGCCGGGAAAAAGCGAAUCGGCCUAACACGCCGGUGAGUUGAUUGUAACUGCAGCGGAAGCCCCGGCUAACUCUGUGCCAGCAGCCGCGGUAAUACAGGGGGGGCAAGCGUUAUUCGGAAUUAUUGGGCGUAAAGGGCGCGUAGGCGGCUUGGCAAGUGGAAGGUGAAAUCCCUCGGCUUAACCGAGGAACUACCCUCCAAACUGCUUGGCUUGAGACCAGGAGAGGUGAGUGGAAUUCCCAGUGUAGCGGUGAAAUGCGUAGAUAUUGGGAGGAACACCAGUGGCGAAGGCGGCUCACUGGACUGGUACUGACGCUGAGGCGCGAAAGCGUGGGGAGCAAAC